UUAACUUUUAGACUUAAACAUUUUUCUUUCUGUAACUCGUGUGCUUGCGCCCCUUGGAGGCACGUUGUUUUUCAUUUCCAAUUGUAAACUUCAUCGCCAAUAAAAGAACACCCCUUUUUGGGACUUUGUCUCAAGAGGUUUGUCCCUUACACAAUCGUCUGAUCCUUUUUAAUUGUUAGCGACUUAACCCGCGCGAAACAAUUUGGCACGCCCGGUGGGACAGUGGUGUUAGGUGUUGAAAGUACAAAAGGAAAAACAAUAUGCCUCAGAGAUCUGACAAGGAAGGAGCAAGUCAGGGAGGAAUCCAGU
rnacentral:lncRNA from 1 species